rnacentral:rRNA from 1 species
UACGUAGGGGGCGAGCGUUGUCCGUAUUUAUUGGGCGUAAAGGGUUCGCAGGUGGCCUGUUAAGUCAGAUGUGAAAGAUCACAGCUCAACUGUGGUAAGCAUUUGAAACUGAAAGGCUUGAGUUAAGGAGAGGAAAGUGGAAUUCCUAGUGUAGCGGUGAAAUGCGUAGAUAUUAGGAGGAAUACCAGUGGCGAAGGCGACUUUCUGGACUUAUACUGACACUGAGGAACGAAAGCGUGGGGAGCAAACAGG